ACUUAGAAACCCAGAGCAUUUUAACCCUCAGUAGUGAGCACACAGAGAUAUUCCUUCAGCAUACCAUACUGCCAUAGAGUGAUGGAGGAAUGACACCAGUAAUUUGAGACCUCUUCAGUGGCUCUGUGAUACAAAGUUAAAACCAGGUCUGCUGCAGUUUGCGGGAGGUCCACUCCAGACCCUGUUUGCCUGGGUGUCACCAGUGGAGGCUGCAGAACAGAAAGGAUUGCCACCUGCUCCUUCCUCUGGAAGCUUCAUCCCAGAGGGACACUGGCCUGAUGCCAGCCACAGCUCUCCUGUACAAGUGUUUAUUAUAUCCCUCUAUAUGGCCAUGUGUACUCAUCGUUCACCUUCCACUUACAUGUAAAAACAUAUGAAUGUUGCAUAUGCUGAGAAGAAUGUGUAUUCUACAGAUGCUGGAGGAAAUGUUCUGCAAAUAUCUAUUACAUUUAUUUGCCCUAUUGUAUAAAGUAAUGAUUGUGAUUCUUUUUAAAUUUUUAUUCUAGAUUAUCUGCCUUCUAGAUAAUGAAAUUGUAAAAGUCUGUUUUGUGAUAAAAAUGUCUUGAAGCCUUCAGCUGAUCUUUAGGAUUUUACUCUAUUGUUUAAAAUGUAUAAAUUUAAGUGUACAAUGCAAUUUUAUUACAUGAUCAUAUUGUGUAGUGAUAAAGUCAUGGUUUUAGUGUAUUAAUCAUCUGAAUAAUGUACAUUGUACUCAUUAAGUAUGUCUCAUCAACCAAGCUCUUUCCAUCCUUCCACAUUUCUGACUCUCCAAUGUGUAUCAUUCUAUACUUUAUGCCCAUGCUUACAAUAUUGUGAAUAUACAGUAUUUGACUUUAUGUUUCCAAGUUUGUUUGUUUUAGAUCAUGGCCUCCAGUUUUAUACAUGUCAAUAGAGAGGACAUGACUUUAUUCUUUUCUAUAAUGAAAUUGUAUUUUAUUAUGUUUAUGUAGCAUAUUUGUUUAAUCUAAUUAUAUGGUGAUAAUCAGUUUAGGUAAUUCUAUUGUUUUACUACUGUGAAUAAUGCUGCAAUACUUAUAUGAUAUGUAUUUUAUAUAAUGAUUUUAAUAUCUUUGAUAGAUACCCAGUAGUGGGAUUGCUGGAACAAGUGGUACUUACAGUUUUAGUUCUUUGAUAAAUAACCAUUCUGUUUUUCAUAGAGCUUAUACUAAUCUAUAUUCCCACCAACAGUAUUAAGCAUUCUUUCUUAGCAUCCUCAUCAUCUGUUUUUCUUUUUAUGUAAUAGCCAUUUUGAGUGGUGUAAUAUGAUAUCUAUCUUACGGUGGUUUUAGUUUGCAUUUCUUUGAUCAUUAGUGAUGUUGAACAUUGGCUUAUAUGCAUGCUGGCCUUUGGAUGUCUUCUUUUGAUAAAUGACUAUUCAUAUUAUUAAUAGCUUUUAUUAUCCUUUCAAAACUUAAAUUUUGGUUUUCACAAACACAUGAAGGUUUCUUACACAGUUAAACUCAGGUCAUAGGGAUGAGUUGUAAAGAUUAUUUCAUCACCUGGAAAUUAAGCCCAAUACCCAAUAGUUAUCUUUUCUGCUUGUCUCCCUUUUUCUUCCCACCAUCCUCAAGUAGACCCCACUGUCUGUUAUUUCCUUCUUUGUUUUAACAAGUAUUACUUAGCCCUAACCUUUGAUGAAAACUAUUGGUUUUCUCUUCCAGCAUUAGCUUACUCAGAUUAAUACCCUCCAUCUCCAUCCAUGUGCCUGCAAAAAAAAAACAUAAUCUUGCUUUUUUAUAUGUAUAUUGGCAUAGUAUUCCAUGGUAUAUAUAUGCCAUAUUGCUUUAUUCUAUCAUUAAUGAACAUUUAUAUUAAUAUCAUGUCUUUGCUAUUGUAAAUACUGCUGCUAUGAAUAUUCAUGUGUAUGUCUCUGUGUGGUAGGAUGAUUUAUGUAUCAUCCUUUGGUACACACUUAGUCAUAAAAUUGCUUAGCCAAAUGGUAGUUCUGCUUUUAGCCUUUUGCAGAAUCACAAUACUGCUUUCCACAAUGCUUGAACUAAUUUAUGCACCCACAAACAGUGUAUAUAUGUUUCCCUUUCUCUGCAGUCUUGCCAGCAUCUGUUACUAUUUCACUUUUUAGUAAUAGCUUUUCUGACAGCUGUGAGAUUGUAUCUUAUUGUGGUUUUGAUUUGCAUUUAUCUAAUCAUCACUGAUAUUGAGCUUUUUUUAUACAUGAUUAUUGGCAGCAUGUAUGUCUUCUUUUAAAAAAAAUCUGUUCAUGUCCUUUUCCCAUUUUUAAUGGGGUUUUCUAUUGGAAUUGUGUUAAAGUUCUUUAUAGAUGUUGGGUAUUAGACUUUUUCAGAUGCAUAGUUUGCAAAAUUUUUCAGAUUUUUGUCAGAUGCACAGGUUGCAAAAUUUUCUCCCAUUCUGUAGGUUGUCUGUGUACUCUGUUGAUAGUUUCUUUUGCUGUACAAAGUAACAUUUUAAUGGUUUUAUUUGUUUUUCCUGUUGCUUGAGUUUAUUAUAUAUUCUAGAUAUCAGUGUAUUUCUUUUGUUUCUACCCUGACCUUUGUAAUUUAUAAUUUUCUACACAUUGUGAGUAGUUUCAUUUUGUUUUCCUAAAACUCUGAGUUGUCUUAUUUGACUUUUUAGAGCUUUUUACUUUUAAGUGUUGGAAUUUGUUGCUAUCAACUUUUCUAUUUUAGCGAUAUUUGAUUUUUCUUUUUAAUUUUAUAUAUUGUGUUUACUUUUUUAUUUGUCUCAACAUUUAAACAUUUUUAUUUUUACUUUUUUUGGUUCAUUGAUUUUUCAGGAGCAUGCUAUUUAAUUUUUACAUAUCUGUAAAUUUC
rnacentral:lncRNA from 1 species